CACGGAAAUACAUUUUAAAAUAUUUGGCUUUCAUGGCUCUCUUAAGGUUCCCGACCCCUGCACUAGAGAAAAGCGCUAUAUAAAUACAAUUCACUUCACUAAUGGUUAGUUGGACACUGGAGUCACGGAGGAAGGGUUGGACUAGAUGCUACCUAGACCUACCAUGGUCGGUGUGUGCCAGGAAGAGGAGGUCCUGGAUGAUCUGGAUCAGGGUGCACAGUUGCCUGUCCUCCUGGGGACUCCUGAGCCUCACCAGGAGCCUCCUCAGCUUCUCCUGCAGCUCCUCCUUGUUGUCCAUCCCGUCCCGCGGAGGUCGUCAGACCACGGCCCGGUGGGGGGGCCGCCUCGAGCGUUCACCGCCGCCCAUGUGGCAAUCGGGAACUUUCUCCUGUAGUUUUGCUUUUGUCUUGCUUGGUGACAGACAGGCGUGUUCCUGCCUCCGGGGAUCUCAUCAUAUGACUCCGAACAGGAAGCGCUGGACGCCAAACGAUCUGCGUGCCAAGAAGUAAACACGACGAUCGGCGCGACUCUCCGCUAAGAGGCUGUCCCUCUUUUGUCCCCUCGUCCUUCACUAAACUCGGCUGAGCGGGACCGGGGACAAGGGUGAAGUGUCCUGCCCAAGGACACAACAGCAGCGAUUUGGAUGUCAAUAGGCGGGGAGCGAACCUGCAACUCUCAGGUUUCUGGCACGGACGCUCUACCCACUACGCCAUGCCGCCCCUAAUAACACCUCCCUAGGGAGGUGUUUAGGGCACGUCCAACCGGUAGGAGGCCACGGGGAAGACCUGGGAACGCCUCGGGAUCCCCCGGGAAGAGCUGGACAAAGUGGCUGGGGAGAGGAAAAUCUGGGCUUCCCUGCUUAGGCUGCUGCCCCCGCGACCCGAGCUUGGAUAAGCGGAAGAAGAUGGGUGGAUGGAUGGAUGGAUGGAUAUAUAUAUAUAUAUGUGUGUGUGUAGCAAAGUUUAUAGCUAUAAGCUCACACAAAUACCGUAAAUAAUCCAAAUUUGGAGCACAGCAUCAUAGUUUUCACAGCUUUUUGGUUGUCAGAGUUAGAAAGCGUUUUAAAGUUAAGUUCUAAUUCUUUUUUAAAGGCACAUUCAUGAAUAUAAAACUUAGCCAAUAGAAAAUGAGGUUGCACAGGUAAAAUUCCUUUUCAAAUGAAAUUAUUGUUUACCCAAAAGGGAAUAAGCGGUAGAUGUGGAUGGAUGGAUGGAUGGAUUAUUGUUUACUUUGAAGUUAAUUUUCGUCGCAUGUAUAUGACAUCACGAGCCAGAGGCAGGGGGCAGGGAAGUGGAGCAGCGGGGAGAGGGGUGUUGAUGUCUACUGGUGACGUCACACAAACAUGGCGGCACAAGGAUGAGAGGCGUCUGGACCCCAGCGGUAAACAAACCACCCAAAGUUCCUCCCGGGUGGUUCGCCCGGGCAGCCUUUUGACACUGGACACCACGACCAACACACAGGAUAAGCCUGGCCUGGAGCACCUGAGGAGCACCUUCAUCAUGAGCAUUGCAAAGAAUCGCAAAGGAGUAGAGGACGAUGGAGAGCGCCGCCUCAUCAGGUCGCCAUCAAGGAACAACGCGCCCGUGGGAACUUUUAUCUACGUUCUGGCCUUUUUUUCGGGCCUGGGGGGGUUCCUCUUUGGCUACGACACCGGGGUGGUGUCGGGGGCCUUGCUGCUCCUGAAGAGGGAGAUGAACUUAAACACCCUCUGGCAGGAGCUGGUGGUCUCCAGCACCGUGGGGGCGGCGGCCGUUUCCAGCCUGAGCGGGGGCUACCUGAAUGGGCUGCUGGGGCGCAGGAAAUGCACCCUGGGGGCCAGCUUCAUCUUCACCAUUGGCGGGUUCAUCAUGACGUUUGCGCCGAACAAGGAGGUCCUCCUGGUGGGCAGGAUUAUCAUCGGCCUUGGGAUUGGCGUGGGCUCCAUGACCCUGCCCGUGUACAUCGCUGAGGUUUCGCCGCCACACAUGCGGGGCCAGCUCGUCACUGUCAUCACCGUCCUCAUCACUGCCGGCCAGUUCAGCGCCAACGUGGUGGACGGCGCUUUCAGCUACAUGAAACGGGACGGCUGGAGGUACAUGCUGGGUCUGUCGGUGGUGCCAGCCAUAGGGCAGUUUGUGGGCUUCCUCUUCCUGCCCGAGAGCCCCCGCUGGCUCCUCCAGAAGGGCAGACACCUGGAGGCCCGCCGGGUCUUGAGCCGGAUCCGAGGCUGCCAGGAUGUGGACGAGGAGUACGACUACAUCCAGAGCAGCAUCGAGGAGGAGGAGAAGGGGGCGAAAGACGGCGGGUUCAUCUUCUUUCGCAUCCUCUGCCACGCACCCACCCGCAGGGCUCUGAUCGUGGGCUGCGGCCUGCAGAUGUUCCAGCAGCUGACGGGGAUCAACACGGUCAUGUACUACAGCGCCACCAUUCUGCAGAUGUCGGGCGUGCGCGACGAGAGGCAGGCCAUAUGGUUGUCUGCCGUGACCUCGGGGACCAACUUCAUAUGCACCUCGCUCAGCAUCUGGCUGGUUGACCGAGUGGGACGCAGGAAGCUGACGUUGGCCAGCAUCACGGGCACCACUCUGAGUCUCUCCGUGUUGUCAGUCGGCUUCCUGCUGUCGGCACAGAACUCUCCGGCCGUGACGCUGCGGCCGCUCGACUCCCACAACUCAUCCUGCACGCCGUACAGAACCUGCUCCGACUGCAUGUUGAACCCCGCUUGUGGAUUUUGCUAUCGCCAGAACAGCAGCGACAUAUUUGACUCCACCUGCCUUCCCGCCAAUCCCACGUCCAGCGACCACUCGGCAUGGGGACGGUGCUUCAACCAGACGGAGGGGCCAGAGAGUCCAAUCUGGGCUUACAACUACUGUCCGACAUUAUACUCCUGGGUGGUCCUGGCGGGCCUCCUUCUCUACCUGAUGUCUUUUGCCCCAGGAAUGGGUCCCAUGCCGUGGACCAUCAACUCCGAGAUCUACCCACUGUGGGCCCGCAGCACUGGCAACGCCUGCUCGGCCGGCAUCAACUGGAUCUUCAACGUCAUCCUCUCGCUCACCUUCCUUCAUGUCGCGGAGCUGCUCACCUAUCAAGGCAUCUUCUUCCUGUACACGGGCUUCACGGUGCUGGGCUUCCUCUUCAUCCUGUGCUGCCUGCCGGAGACGAAGGGCCUGCAGCUGGAGGACAUCGAGGACCUGUUCAUGGGCCCGCUGUGCUCCUGCGGGGGCGGCUCCCACUUCAAGAACCAGAACAUCCAGUACAUCCGGGUAAAAGGCAGCAAUUACUUCCCCUCGGACAACGAGGCCUCCGACAUAGACUAAGUUUCGGGAGAGGGGUUCUGCGUGUCCGUCUUGUGGAUUUCUCACCUCUUUUCUUGGCUUUUGAGGACUUGGGAAGCCUGUUGAAGCCAUGAGAAAAAUAAUGACACGCUGCCCCCCGGUGGCGGAGGGCGAAAAAUGAGCAAAGUUUGCACACAUUUUUAUUAUUAUUUUUACAUUUGGUUUCCUAAUGGCACUUUUCCACUCAGUCAACACUCUCAUCGCUUCCUCGUUGCCUCUGAGGCACUCGGUGCCAUUCCCUUCCUGACGAAUCAAGACUCUCGCUACUAAGUGAUAACGUUGUAGUGGAGUUUCUUUAAAUCAAGGGUGCUCAAACCUUUUCCCACUGAGGGCCACACACUGACAAAUCAAAGGAUGCGGGGGCCAUUUUAGUUAAAAGAAAAGCUAGUAUGCUAAAAUUAGCAUGCUAACAACAGCAUGCUUACAGUUAUCAUUAGUGAGUCAGUAUAUGACAUUCAGGUCUAUACCUGCUAAAUUAGCCUGAAAAUCCAUCCAUCCAUCCUACCAUCUUCUUCCGCUUAUCCGAGGUCUGGUCGGGGGUAGCAGCCUAAGCAGGGAAGCCCAGACUUCCCUCUCCCCAGCCACUCCGUCCAGCUCUUCCCAGGGGAUCCCAAGGCGUUCCCAGGCCAGCCGGGAGACAUAGUCUUCCCAAUGUGUCCUGGGUCUUCCCCAUGGCCUCCUACCGGUUGGAUGUGCCCUAAACACCUCCCUCGGGAGGCGUUCGGGUGGCAUCCUGACCAGAUGCCCGAACCACCUCAUCUGGCUCCUCUCGAUGUGGGGGAGCAGCGGCUUUACUUUGAGUUCCUCCCGGAUGACAGAGCUUCUCACCCUAUCUCUAAGGGCCUGAAAAGCGAGCAUGUUAAAAUGCUAAUUGGAACAUGCUUCAAGUUUAACAUUAUAUUACUCUGUGUCUACAUGAUACAUUGUUUUAAAUGCUAACAUGCUAAUAUUAGCAUACCUCAGGUACCAAAACAUGACUGAGGUGUCUAACCGGUAUCAGUAGGAGACCGGGCUUUCUGCUCUGCCGCUCCUAGUCUGUGAAACGCUCUCCCUGACCACCUGAGGGAACCCCAGACUGUGAAUGCUUUUAAAAAAGGCUUAAAAACCGUUCUUUUUAAAAAAAUCCUUUUUUUUUUUAGAUAAAUGGAUAUGAGUAAUUAUAAUAAUAAUAAUAAUGGAUUAGAUUUAUAUCGCACUUUUCUAUUAUUAGAUACUCAGAGCACUUACAGAGAAGUGGGAACCCAUCAUUCAUUUACAGCUGGUGGUGGUAAGCUACAUUUUUAGCCACAGCUGCCCUGGGGUAGACUGACGGAAGCGUGGCUGCCAGUUUGCGCCUACGGCCCCUCCGACCACCACCUAUCAUUCAAUCAUUCACCAGUGUGAGCAGCACCGGGGGCAAGGGUGAAGUGUCCUGCCCAAGGACACAACGGCAGCGACUUGGAUGUCGAUAGGCGGGGAGCGAACCUGCAACCCCCAGGUUUUUGGCACGGCAGCUCUACCCCUAGUUCUAGCUAUCAGGCUAGUCUCGCUUUUAUUUGUAUUAUUUUUUUAUUUUUUUAAUACACUGUAGCCCUUUGAGAUUGUUUGCUCAAUGUAAAGUACUUUUUUACAAAUAAAAUCUAUUAUUAUUAUUAAUAUUAUUAUCACUGCGGUGAACACCUUCAAACAUUUGCAAAAAGAGCUAGCGUGCUAGCUUUAAAAUGCUAACAGUUGUGCCCCCGGCCCCCACUUUGGACACCCCUGCUUUAAAUGUCGACCACAUUCCCGAGUCAUGCCAGUGUCUGGUGCUCAGUCAUAGUAUGGCUGCUAGCGUGGGGAGAGAUGGCACUUUUAACGAUAGCACACCACAUUGACUCCGGUGGUUCUGAAAAUGUUUCUAGAAACACCCGGACUUGAUCCCAGCCGAAUACGGAGCGACGGGCUCAGACAUGGGCAUAGCGUACAUCACUCUAAAGUGAGCAACUAAAUGUAUUUUCUCCUCUGCAUUGUCUGCUCUCCAGAUGUACUAAAAACAGUCCUCUUUAUUUCAAAUAUGAAGAAUCUGGCUGGAGUCGGUCAACAGAUUCAUAUUUAUGCAUAUUCCUCAAUACUGGAUGGCUACAAAGAAUUUGUAUGGGUUAUUGGACAUUGUUUUGCACAAAGCUUGGAUAUGUUCUGGUAGUUCUGGUUUUACAAUGGGUUUGUUUUAAUUGUAUUGACCAUUUUAAUGAUGUUUACAUAUCGUAAUCGUGCCUCAAAUUGCUUGAAUACACAACCAAAAGUUGUACAGAUCUGCUAAGAAACAAUAUAUUUAUAUAUAUAUAUGUAUAUGUAAUAAAACAUUUGCAAUGUCUGAUUAAAAAAAAAAUUCAAAUCAA